UUUUUGAAAAUAAUAUAAAGUNUAAUNUGCCCACUGAAUUAAUUUAAAGGGCUGCAGUAUAUUGACUGUACAAAGGUAGCAUAAUCAAUAGUCUUUUAAUUGAAGACUUGUAUGAAUGAUUUGAUGAAAUAUAAACUGUCUCUUUUUUAAAAUUAAAAUUUAAUUUUUUAGUUAAAAAGCUAAAAUAAAUAUAAAAGACGAGAAGACCCUAUAGAGUUUUAUAAUUAUUUUUAUUUAUUUUAUAUAUUAAUAUUAAAAAUUAAAUGUAAAUAAUUAUUUUGUUGGGGUGAUAGAAAAAUUUAAUUAACUUUUUUUUUAAAUUUAACAUUAAUAUAUGAAUAUAUGAUCCAUAUUUUAUGAUUAAAAGAAUAAAUUACCUUAGGGAUAACAGCGUAAUUUUUUUUUUUAGUUCAUAUAAAAAAAAGAGUUUGCGACCUCGAUGUUGGAUUAAGAUAAAAUUUAAAUGCAAAAGUUUAAAAUUUUUGAUCUGUUCGAUCAUUAAAAUCUUACAUGAUCUGAGC
rnacentral:rRNA from 1 species